CCUACGGGUGGCUGCAGUGAGGAAUAUUGGUCAAUGGAGGCAACUCUGAACCAGCCAUGCCGCGUGUAGGACGAAUGCCCUCUGGGUUGUAAACUACUUUUAUUGGGGAAGAAACCCUCUUACGUGUAAGAGGCUGACGGUACCCAAGGAAUAAGGACCGGCUAACUCCGUGCCAGCAGCCGCGGUAAUACGGAGGGUCCAAGCGUUAUCCGGAAUCAUUGGGUUUAAAGGGUGCGCAGGCGGUAAAGUAAGUCAGUGGUGAAAUCUCUCGGCUC
rnacentral:rRNA from 1 species